AUAUCCCUACGGGGCGCAGCAGUAGGGAAUCUUCCACAAUGGGCGAAAGCCUGAUGGAGCAACGCCGCGUGGGUGAAGAAGGUCUUCGGAUCGUAAAACCCUGUUGUUAGAGAAGAAAGUGGGUGAGAGUAACUGUUCACGUUUCGACGGUAUCUAACCAGAAAGCCACGGCUAACUACGUGCCAGCAGCCGCGGUAAUACGUAGGUGGCAAGCGUUAUCCGGAUUUAUUGGGCGUAAAGGGUGCGUAGGCGGCCUGCUAAGUCUGGAGUGAAAGGUACCGGCUCAACCGGUACAGGCUCUGGAA
rnacentral:rRNA from 1 species